CAACCUGAGUAGAGCGGCGCACGGGUGCGUAACACGUGGGUAAUCUGCCUUAGAGUCGAGGAUAACUUUCCGAAAGGUUAGCUAAUACUCGGUAAGCUUACGGUGUCUUCGGACACUGUGAGAAAAGUAGGCCUCUAUUUAUAAGCUUACGCUCUGAGAUGAGCCCGCGGCCCAUCAGCUAGUUGGCGGGGUAACGGCCCACCAAGGCAACGACGGGUAGCUGGUCUGAGAGGACGAUCAGCCACACUGGAACUGAGACACGGUCCAGACUCCUACGGGAGGCAGCAGUGGGGAAUUUUCCACAAUGGGCGAAAGCCUGAUGGAGCAACGCCGCGUGUGUGAUGAAGGUUUUCGGAUCGUAAAGCACUUUCGACCGGGACGAAAAACCUCUGGCUAACAUCCAGGGGCCUGACGGUACCGGGAGAAGAAGCACCGGCUAACUCUGUGCCAGCAGCCGCGGUAAUACAGAGGGUGCAAGCGUUGUUCGGAAUUAUUGGGCGUAAAGCGCGUGUAGGCGGCUUGGCAAGUCAGAUGUGAAAGCCCUCGGCUUAACCGAGGAAGUGCGUCUGAAACUGCUGAGCUUGAGUGUCGGAGAGGAUGGCGGAAUUCCGCAAGUAGAGGUGAAAUUCGUAGAUAUGCGGAGGAACACCGGUGGCGAAGGCGGCCAUCUGGACGACUACUGACGCUGAGACGCGAAAGCGUGGGGAGCAAACAGGAUUAGAUACCCUGGUAGUCCACGCCCUANACGAUGUCAACUGGUUGUUGGGAAUUUACUUUCUC
rnacentral:rRNA from 1 species